AUUGAACGCUGGCGGCAGGCCUAACACAUGCAAGUCGAACGGUAACAGGAAGCAGCUUGCUGCUUCGCUGACGAGUGGCGGACGGGUGAGUAAUGUCUGGGAAGCUGCCUGAUGGAGGGGGAUAACUACUGGAAACGGUAGCUAAUACUGCAUAAUGUCGCAAGACCAAAGAGGGGGACCUUCGGGCCUCUUGCCAUCGGAUGUGCCCAGAUGGGAUUAGCUUGUUGGUGGGGUAACGGCUCACCAAGGCGACGAUCCCUAGCAGGUCUGAGAGGAUGACCAGCCACACUGGGACUGAGACACGGUCCAGACUCCUACGGGAGGCAGCAGUGGGGAAUAUUGCACAAUGGGCGCAAGCCUGAUGCAGCCAUGCCGCGUGUAUGAAGAAGGCCUUCGGGUUGUAAAGUACUUUCAGCGGGGAGGAAGGGAGUAAAGUUAAUACCUUUGCUCAUUGACGUUACCCGCAGAAGAAGCACCGGCUAACUCCGUG
rnacentral:rRNA from 1 species